rnacentral:lncRNA from 1 species
UUCAGUUGGCCAAAGCAGGAAUUGUUAUUCAGUUGAGGCAUCAUACUCUCGCAACAUUAUCAAAUUUGCUUACACAGAAAAGAGCAAGGAAAUGUAAAACAAUUUUUGCAAAUUAAAAAAUGAGUAACUUUUACGAAGGCAUCAUCUGUAAAAUAAGUUGACAAAUGUAUCACGUGGAUUAAAAAACAUGAGGUUGUAUGUGUAAUAUACGGUAUUGUAAUUUGAGUACCUGUACUUCAUGUUUUUUAAGCUUCGGCUUGAUCAACUAAAAAUAUUGUAUUACACCCUACAAUAAUUU